CUCUGUGACUGGCUUGCUUGAUGGUUAGGGUCUGAUCGCUGCCUGAGACACCAUAUCGGUACUCCUCAGAGUUGAUGCAGAGUGUUCAUAUGAGGAGAGACUUUCCCUUGUCUCUGUCAUCUGUGAUUUCACUUCCCUGACAGAAGACGAAGCUUCCAUCUCAGAUGUUUUCUUAAAUGAUGAAACAGCAUACGCCUCUGUUCUUGUCAGCUCAGGGAAAACAGAUCUGGGGACCUCUUCAUCUCUGCGUUGGGAAGCAUAGGUGGUAUAAUCCCCUCCUGUCACGUCCAACGUUGCAUAGUCAGAAGCUUCGCCCUUGUAGUUGGUGCACACAGCACGGUGAUCACAGGAUCUGGUUUGCCACUGAAAGGAAUCUUGAUGCUGACCACUUCACCUCGGAGAGCAUGAACUGCUCCCAUGCCUUCAAGAGUUUUAGAUUUUCACAUUUCACACGAAACUCAUAUUCAAGACCUUCAAUAAGGUUUUUCACUGAAAAGACAGUUUCUCGAAUUUCUUCUGUUGUCACAGAAAUCCAUUUAUUCUGCUUCUUCUCACGCUUCUCAAGUGGGUAACCAGGAUGGAACUGCGGUGUUGCUUGCAGGAGAAGCUUACUACUGGUUUCUACUUCUCCAACCUCAUUGGUGGCUAUGCAGGCACUGUCUCCAGACUGUCUAUAUUCAACCCAGUAUCCAAGAAUUUCUUUACCACCAUCACAUUCAGGUUUCUCCCACUGUAGAGUGACACUAUCUUUGGAUAUUGAAAGAAUCUCAAGUUCUCCUGGUUGGCUUGGUUUAUCUGAAAUAUUUUAAAA
rnacentral:antisense_RNA from 1 species